AUUGAACGCUGGCGGCAUGCCUUACACAUGCAAGUCGAGCGAUGAAAUUAGAAACGGAGUCUUCGGACGAAGAGGAAAAUGGAUUAGCGGCGGACGGGUGAGUAACACGUGAGCAACCUGCCUAUCACAUCGGGAUAGCCUCGGGAAACUGGGAUUAAUACCGAAUGAAACAUAAUCACUGCCUAGUGGAAAUGUCAAAGAUUUAUCGGUGAUAGAUGGGCUCGCGUCUGAUUAGCUGGUUGGUGAGGUAACGGCUCACCAAGGCGACGAUCAGUAGCCGGCCUGAGAGGGUGAACGGCCACAUUGGGACUGAGACACGGCCCAAACUCCUACGGGAGGCAGCAGUGGGGAAUAUUGCACAAUGGAGGGAACUCUGAUGCAGCGACGCCGCGUGAGCGAUGAAGGCUUUCGAGUCGUAAAGCUCUGUCGAAUGGGAAGAUAAUGACGGUACCAUUUGAGAAAGCCCCGGCUAACUACGUGCCAGCCGCCGCCGUAAGAC
rnacentral:rRNA from 1 species